AUGAGCGGCGACGGUGGUGGCGGCUCUAGGGUUCCGAUCCCCAACAAUGUACGAAAUACCAUCAUUGACAUCAGAGAGAUCACCGGAAAACAGCACACCGACGACGAAAUCUACGCCGUCCUUAAAGAACGUUCCAUGGAUCCUAAUGAGACCGCUCAGAAGCUUCUCUAUUUAGAUACUUUUCAUGAGGUGAGAAGGAGGCAUGACCGGAAGAAAGAAGUAAGAUUUUGUUUCUGUCUUCUUAUUUAG